rnacentral:misc_RNA from 1 species
AGGGGGAAGAGAAGAAGAGAAGUGAAAAAUUUGACAAUGAAAGAAAACAAAUCAUUUAUAAUUAAGCAGAAAAUAUCAAUUGAUUAAAGCAUUAAAAUUGUUUGAGAUAAUGACAGUGAUAAUAGGAAGUGAGUGAGGUGAUUAGAAUAAUCCUCUAGUUAAAGAUGGCGCUUCUUCUGUCCAUUUUUUAAGCAUCGCCUCGCCAAAUCAUCUACUGCAGUACAUCUCCAACUUUAAAGAGGACUAACUGAGGUUUUUUUUUAUUACUUUUUGCAGUAAUUUUUACUUUCUUGGUCUACGUAAUGGCGGAACUAAAUACUGUUGGUGAUACUGAGAAUGAAGAUAAGAAAUCUUUACAAAUUUUUACUGUUGAGGAAUUAAGGAAAUAUGAUGGAACUAAUGACAAAAAGCUUAUAUAUAUUGCCCUUGUUGGCGAUGUAUUCGAUGUAACUUCCGGUGAAAAAUUUUAUGGACAAGGAGCACCGUACUGUAUGUUUGCUGGUCGAGAUGCUACAAAAGGUCUGGGUACUUUCAAGUUGAAAAAUUUAGACGAUGACGAUUGGUCAGAUCUAAGCGAAAAACAUAUGGAAAAUGCUCAAAGGUGGCACUCUCAAUUUAAAGUAAAAUAUCCAAUAAUAGGAACACUAAAACGAGAUUUUAAAAAGAAAACGCUUAAUAAUAACGAUGAAUUAAAAUCGGAAGAAAAAAUUCAAGAAUCAAAGAAGAAUACGGCGAAUAGAGGAGGUCGUCCUGCUACUCCAAUGCCUAAAAAAGAAUCUCGCUUCUGUUUAAUAUUAUAAUGAAAAUAAAUAACUAGUUCUUUAAUUAAUAAAGUCAGAUACAUAGUAUAAAAUGUUAAUCUUCUUCUCAUUUAAAGGUAGGAUAUAGCCUAUCCUCCCUAAUAAAGAGACUAAACAGUUUGUUAUUCAUCAGUUUUUCGUUGUUAAAUAACAAUAACAAUAAUACAAAUCUGGUUCU